AAACAACGCUGGCGGCGUGGAUUAGACAUGCAAGUCGAACGAGUUUCAUUUGGGUAGCAAUACCGAGCGAAGCUAGUGGCGAACGGGUGCGUAACACAUGAGUCAUCUGCCCAGAAGUGGGGAAUAGCUCGGCGAAAGCCGGAUUAAUACCGCAUGUGGUCGUAAGACCAAAGCCGGGGCAACCUGGCGCUUUUGGAGGAGCUCGUGGCCUAUCAGCUAGUUGGUGAGGUAACGGCUUACCAAGGCAACGACGGGUAGCUGGUCUGAGAGGACGACCAGCCACACUGGAACUGAGAUACGGUCCAGACACCUACGGGUGGCAGCAGUCGAGAAUUUUUCUCAAUGGGGGAAACCCUGAAGGAGCGACGCCGCGUGGAGGAUGAAUGCUUUCGGGUUGUAAACUCCUGUCAUUUGGGAACAAGGCCUUACGUUAACUGCGUGGAGGAUUGAUAGUACCAGAAGAGGAAGAGACGGCUAACUCUGUGCCAGCAGCCGCGGUAAUACAGAGGUCUCGAGCGUUGUUCGGAUUCAUUGGGCGUAAAGGGCGCGUAGGCGGCGGGGUAAGUCUGGUGUGAAAUCUA
rnacentral:rRNA from 1 species